rnacentral:rRNA from 1 species
GACGAACGCUGGCGGCGUGCUUAACACAUGCAAGUCGAACGGAAAGGCCCUGCUUUUGUGGGGUGCUCGAGUGGCGAACGGGUGAGUAACACGUGAGUAACCUGCCCUUGACUUUGGGAUAACUUAAGGAAACUGGGGCUAAUACCGGAUAGGAGCUCCUGCUGCAUGGUGGGGGUUGGAAAGUUUCGGCGGUUGGGGAUGGACUCGCGGCCUAUCAGCUUGGUGGUGGGGUAGUGGCUUACCAAGGCUUUGACGGGUAGCCGGCCUGAGAGGGUGACCGGCCACGUUGGGACGGAGAUGCGGCCCAGACUCCUACGGGAGGCAGCGGUGCGGAAGAUUGCACAAUGGGCGGAAGCCUGAUGCAGCAACGCCGCGUGCGGGAUGACGGCCAUCGGGUUGUAAACCGCUUUCGCCUGUGACGAAGCGUGAGUGACGGUAAUGGGUAAAGAAGCACCGGCUAACUACGUG